rnacentral:rRNA from 1 species
GAUGAACGCUGGCGGCGUGCUUAACACAUGCAAGUCGAACGUUGAAGCCCAGCUUGCUGGGUGGAUUAGUGGCGAAGGGGCGAGUAACACGUGAGUAACCUGCCCUUUACUCUGGGAUAAGCAUGGGAAACGGGGUCUAAUACCGGAUAGGAGCGUCCACCGCCGGGUGGAUGUUGGAGAGAUUUGUCGGUUUUGGAUGGACACGCGGCCUAUCAGCUUGUUGGUGGGGUAGGGGCUCACAAAGGCGACGACGGGUAGCCGGCCUGGGAGGGUGACCGGCCGCACUGGGAUAGGGGCGCGCCCCGUACGCACACGGGGGGCAGCGGUGGAAACUAUUGCACACUGGCCGCAAGCCUGAAACAAGAGCGCCGCGUGGGGAAGGACGGCCUUCGGUUGAGAACGUCUGCCGGUAGGGAACAAGCGGAAGUGACGGUACCUGCAGAAGAAGCACCGGCUAACUACGUG